AUGAAGGGAAUGUCGUUGGGAAAGCGUCACAAGAAGAUGCGCAUGUUGUGCCACCACUGCAGCUCCAAGGCCUACCACCUUCAGAUGUCAACCUGUGGCAAACGUGGCUACCCUGCCAAGCGCAAGAGGAAGUGUAACUGGGGUGCCAAGGCUAAAAGACGAAAUAGCACUGGGACUGGUCGGAUGAGGCACCUAAAAAUUGUAUAUCUCAGAUUCAAGCAUUGAUUCCAUGAAGGAACAACACAUAAACCAAAGAGGGCAGCUGUUGCAGCAUCCAGUUCAUCUUAA
rnacentral:lncRNA from 1 species